GUUUCUCUUUCUUGAUGGGGUGGUUUAUGGGGGAUGCAGUGCGGGGGGACAUAUACCAUUUUUACAGCUUGUAAGUAGUUUUAGGUACAAGGGCAAUCAGUUAAAAAUGUACAUUUCUGAAAGGAGGAUUUGCAAAGAUGCAAAUGAUUGUAUUUCUCUAAAACGGAACUGCAUGAAGUGCACAAGCCCCCACUUCUAUCGGCAGCAGAAAGAUCAUGAACUUCCCAGCCAUGCAAGGCAUUAAAACAAGCAUUUCCAGACCCUACGUGGUGAAAUCCAAGAUCCAUGGAGAGGGCCAUUGUACCCAGGGAGGCUGCCUGCCAAGACCCAACAGAUGACAUCUUCAGGCCCAGGUGGAGCUUGCCC
rnacentral:lncRNA from 1 species